UACAGAGGUCCCGAGCGUUGUUCGGAUUCACUGGGCGUAAAGCGUGCGCAGGCGGUCUGCUAAGAGAGGUGUGAAAUCCCCGGGCUUAACCUGGGAACUGCGCUUCUAACUGGCAGGCUAGAGUGUGGCAGAGGGGGGUGGAAUUCCACGUGUAGCAGUGAAAUGCGUAGAGAUGUGGAGGAACACCGAUGGCGAAGGCAGCCCCCUGGGCUAACACUGACGCUCAUGCACGAAAGCGUGGGGAGCAAACAGG
rnacentral:rRNA from 1 species